GAUUCGACCCAACUCACUACUUUCUAUUUGUUUUUAAUUUUUAUUGAAGUUAGAAUUUGAUUGAUAAUCACGAUGUCUUAACGAUAACAUCGCGAUCGUAUCAGUCAUUAGAACCCAACACUCUCUUGACCUCCAGAGGCUAAAUUAUGCUUAUAUUUCUCUAAUUCCCAAGAAGAGUGAGGGCCCCAUGACUCGGGACUUUAGGCCCAUCAGCCUUCUUAAUGGCUUGUAUAAGAUCAUCACUAAGAUUUUGGCCAUUAAACUAAUCAAAAGCCUCAUCUUUUGAUUAAUGACUAUCAAUCUGCAUUUGUAAAGAGA
rnacentral:lncRNA from 1 species